CUCAGGUGGUGCUUCAGUUGAGUUCACCGCUUCAAGCCGCACUCCUCCUCUUCUCGCUCUGACAGUAGCUUCGAGUGCGUAUCUUGCUCUUCCAUAGUCGUCAAUCUUGGUAUGUGGCAUCAGCAAACAGUCCUGGUCUAUUGAUUCCGAAGCUGAUGAGAUCAAGAAUGAGAAUUUGUCUCAAGUGAAAAAGACAAGUAAACUGGUCGUCUCUGUGGCAUCCCGGGGGAGGGUCAGGAGACAGAGCAAAUGGUUUCUCCACGAAUUCCGUCGCGUUGCAGGAAUCUGAGUGCGCACCUCUUGUGCGCAUGAUCAGCUGUGCAACCCCUCCCCUAAACUUAAAAGGGUAAUUUAGUCUUUUGUCAUUAAUUAUUAGUUCCUAAUACUAUUUUAAUUAGAUUGGUUCUCUCAGAUCCAGAUCCAAGCCCGUAAGACCCAAGUAUUCUAUACGUACGUGGGUACCUGGAUUGAUCUAACCCUCCUCACACAAGGAGAGGUCGGCGAAGCCUGGGAGCUGGCCAUGGAUAACAGGAUGCCAAACCAGAGCUUCAUUCCGUCGGCAAGAGAGCCACCGGCUCAAAGAUUCGUGUCAUCGGCAAGGCCACUUCGCGAGACUGCAGCAUGGUGAGGUUUUCGUAAGUCACCUCACAGAUCAUACAUGGAGGGAGGAGCUAUGGUGAUGAUAAAGCGUAGGAGCCCCAUCCGUGUUCUUCGGCCAGGCUCCCAAUCCCUCCUCCGACGCCUGCUUUUCUCUCUCGAUAGUGCUGCCAAGGUCACCGUGGCCGCGGUGACGGCAAGCUUGAGGAAGAUCAUGAGCGCGUAUGCUCAAACUCGAUGCUCUCGCUUGCACACCUCCUGCAGGCUGCCGGGAUAGCUGCGGCCGCAUACCCUCCUCCUCCCUGCCGGCCAUGAUGCUCUGCUUUGAGCAAUGCUCGUGGCCUAGGUGAAGUACGGCUAAGCCCGUCAGUUCCGCCGUGCCGGCAACCUCUCCUGCCUGUGACGACAUACAUGGCCUUGCCACCACUACCCGCCGACGAGGGAUAUCGCGCUUGUGCCGGGCAACACACCUCGCUGUCGACCAGGACGAGCCACCGUGAACCGUGAGUGACAAGUACAGACCCACCACGGAUGAUUACGUGUGAGGUUCUGUUCUGUACAUAUUCAAUUGAGCCGAAUGGGUAUAUACAGGGCCAAAUACAACUUAAGUAAUCGUUAAUAGUUUAUUAAGUACCAUCAUACCCUCAAUUGUGAAGGGGUACGGAACAAUCUGAGCCGUUGUUCUGUUUAAGUUUGAAGGAGGGGGGAGCACUGAAGCAAAAGUGCUUCCUGCCCAGGAAGCAAAGUAGAAGGGCAUUUAUCGGCAUUUUCAGUUCAGUCAUAGGCCUCCCAGCUUGCUAUCAAAUCAAGGCAAUGACCGCGUGACAAAUAUGAGUCUGUUUCUGGAAUUUGCACAGCUGCAUCCAAGUUUUCCACCUCAACUAAGCAUAAAAUACGACAUAAAUAAUCUAAACUGCAGGUAAUGAAGAAAAAACAGAGCUCUACUGCACAGCAGUAAGAAUCUCA